rnacentral:tRNA from 1 species
AGGCUCGUCGGCUGGAAGGACAGGGGCAGCUGGCGCCUGCCCGCGUGGCAGUUCGCGGGCACCGGCGUCCUGCCGGGCCUC